AGCGGCUUUGUCAAAUGCAUUAAAGCACAUCUACACAAAAACAACAACAAUAGAGAUCAAAUAUGAUAAACUUUGGUCAAAUAACCAAUGAUUGGUGAAUUGGAUAUUGAUCUAAACCCAAACCAGCUAGCAGAUAAAGGUUCACCUAAAGUACUUCCAUUUUGUAGCAAAAGUGCUAUAACAUUAUAGAUAUCCAAAAGUUUCACAAAGCCUAAGGAAACUUGCUUAAAGCAUGUCAAUUUGAAAUACAUAGAUAGGAGAGCGAGAAAGGAAAGAAGAGAUCCACCAUAAUGCAUCUGAUUAGGAAACAUGAGAAGCAUAUGGUCGUCGCGUAACCAACCUGCCCAAACCAAAAAGAAAUAACAGUAAAAAAUUGUAAAUAAAAAGAAAUAUUGGAAAAAGAAACCACAACUACAGAGUAGAUAUGUACUUCUUGCAGCUUCUUACGCCGCCCUUUGGACUCUACAGGGAACCGCUGCAACAUUAAGAAAAGCCUGCAAUGAAAUAUAUUGUUACAUAGCUUCUCCAUGCAAUUUGCAUACAAAUCAUAUUAGUAGACAUUUUCAAUA